UACGGAGGGUGCAAGCGUUAUCCGGAUUUAUUGGGUUUAAAGGGUGCGUAGGCGGUCUUGUAAGUCAGUGGUGAAAUACGGCAGCUCAACUGUCGAGGUGCCAUUGAUACUGUAGGACUUGAGUACAGACGAGGUAGGCGGAAUUGACGGUGUAGCGGUGAAAUGCUUAGAUAUCGUCAAGAACACCGAUAGCGAAGGCAGCUUACUAGGCUGUAACUGACGCUGAGGCACGAAAGUGUGGGGAUCAAACAGG
rnacentral:rRNA from 1 species